rnacentral:lncRNA from 1 species
GUGACUGUCCUAAUCUCCUGACCAAUCAUGCCAAUGCAGGAUGGCUCAUACGACGGACGACCCUGCUCGUUCAUGGUUUAUACACCGAGUAGAACCGCCGUGGUUUAUGCUUUAGCAAACCACGAUUAAGACUUGCAGACUUCGGAUCCUAAAAUCGCAAAUCGUAAUCAGGGAAGAGAGAGUCUGAAAACGUGGUUACUUCAUUAUAUUGAAAUGAUGUGAACAAGUCAUCUAGAAUGUAAAGUCUAGUAACGAAAAUAUCUGAAACACUAAAGCCGGGAAUUAGGAAUUUAUUAAGCAAGCCAAAUACAUAAUCAGGAAUAAACCGGUCCUGGAUACAAACGACUCCAACGGCUUGUGGUUGGCCAUGGAAUAUAAUAAUAAAAAUUUCCAGAUAAAAGUUUGAGCAAUACAUAUAAGGCGAGAAAGAUACCUUUUGAAAACGGAGUCGACGCAUGUUGCAUUGAGAGAACAUAACCUUUGCUGUUGCUUUCAAAUCGUCAGCUCCAAAUUAAAUCGUAUUCCGUUGCUGUUUCAAGAAUCGAACACACUAAUGUUAACAAAGGAUCGAAUAAUGGUUCUUAGUUUUAUUCUUUUUCUUUUCAUUCUGAUCAUAGAGAGCGGAAAAAUAAAAUCUGCGAUCGAUGAUGGGUCUUUCUCAGUUUAUAUACAACCGUGUCUGAUCGAAAUAAAAAGGAAAUUUUAUCGAGUGGGAAAAAAAAGAGGAAAAGUAACACUUUUUCAAACAAAAAAAAAAGGAAAACUUUACAAUGCCCAAAAAAGGAAAACGUUGCGUGUAUGCCGGUUUAAAUUGAUUUGGUUUUGAUGAAUAGUUCCGGUUUAGUCAAUCACGCUCCUUUUGCAUCCAGC